UCUUCUUUCUCCUCUUUAUCUUCUUCUUUUUUUCAUCUUUCUUCUUAACCAAAACUAAACCUAAAGUUCCUUCUGGUGUGAUCACAUUGGAAUACUUGUGGCAACAAAUCAUAGUUGCACCAUAUUUUAGGUGGCUCUAGGGUGUAGUGUCGUAAAAUCAAUUUACUUUGUAUGCAAAUCAGAACAAGUACCACAUCACAUUACCAUAGGAUCCUAUUACAGAAAAGGUAUGUAAAUGCAAGCUGGGGUAAGACAUUAUAACCAUAAUCAAGCUGCAGCCACUCCGAUCAACACGGCCUCUUGUUUAGAUUGAGAUUAUGCUUUCAUGCCUAUGCUAGUGAGAAAGACACGCUGGACUUUCCUUCGGCUUGCUGAAUGUAUAGUUUGCCUUUCCGCAAAAAAGAAAAGAAAAAGACGGGUAUAGUUUGCCUCUUAUGACAGAUUCCAUAAGCAAUAUGCAUGCCUUGUUGUUUUCUCAAAUUAAACUAAUUCGAGUGUUGCUGAUUGAUGAAUUUGAAUAUAUGCAAAGGAAUUUGAGGACAGCUUUUGCUCUUCUCACUAUUAGUUUCAUAAUCUUUUAUACAACCCCUUCAAGGAGUCUGUGGAUAACUUUCGUUUACAGUUCACUAGAUAUGUGUAUUACAUUUUCUAUUGGAAAUGCAUUUGAAUUCAUUUAUGACAAAUACUAAUUCUACCACGACAUGCCAAUUUUUUUUUCUUGUAUAUAAAAUAACUCGUGCACUAAUAUUUACUUCACUGAAAGAUUUUUCACUUUGAAGGGAAAUAGUUUUUGUUCCAUCAUCUAUUAAUAAUAUAACAAUAGUAAUUCAUUAUAUGCCAAUGAGUUGAGAAAUCUGGCACUACAUUAUUUAAAUGACACAUAAAAAGCAUAAUGUACUAACUAAUAAGACUACUAGUGAGAAUUGAGAUUAUACACAAUUAUAGUAGAGAAGAUGCUAUCUAUGCUCUAAACCUAAACUAAAGUAAACCUAAACUAAACCAAACCUAAAAUAAACCUAAACUAAA